GGAUUAGUGGCGAACGGGUGAGUAACACGUGAGUAACCUGCCCUUAACUCUGGGAUAAGCCUGGGAAACUGGGUCUAAUACCGGAUAUGACUCCUCAUCGCAUGGUGGGGGGUGGAAAGCUUUUUGUGGUUUUGGAUGGACUCGCGGCCUAUCAGCUUGUUGGUGAGGUAAUGGCUUACCAAGGCGACGACGGGUAGCCGGCCUGAGAGGGUGACCGGCCACACUGGGACUGAGACACGGCCCAGACUCCUACGGGAGGCAGCAGUGGGGAAUAUUGCACAAUGGGCGCAAGCCUGAUGCAGCGACGCCGCGUGAGGGAUGACGGCCUUCGGGUUGUAAACCUCUUUCAGUAGGGAAGAAGCGAAAGUGACGGUACCUGCAGAAGAAGCGCCGGCUAACUACGUGCCAGCAGCCGCGGUAAUACGUAGGGCGCAAGCGUUAUCCGGAAUUAUUGGGCGUAAAGAGCUCGUAGGCGGUUUGUCGCGUCUGCCGUGAAAGUCCGGGGCUCAACUCCGGAUCUGCGGUGGGUACGGGCAGACUAGAGUGAUGUAGGGGAGACUGGAAUUCCUGGUGUAGCGGUGAAAUGCGCAGAUAUCAGGAGGAACACCGAUGGCGAAGGCAGGUCUCUGGGCAUUAACUGACGCUGAGGAGCGAAAGCAUGGGGAGCGAACAGGAUUAGAUACCCUGGUAGUCCAUGCCGUAAACGUUGGGCACUAGGUGUGGGGGACAUUCCACGUUUUCCGCGCCGUAGCUAACGCAUUAAGUGCCCCGCCUGGGGAGUACGGCCGCAAGGCUAAAACUCAAAGGAAUUGACGGGGGCCCGCACAAGCGGCGGAGCAUGCGGAUUAAUUCGAUGCAACGCGAAGAACCUUACCAAGGCUUGACAUGAACCGGUAACGCCUGGAAACAGGUGCCCCGCUUGCGGUCGGUUUACAGGUGGUGCAUGGUUGUCGUCAGCUCGUGUCGUGAGAUGUUGGGUUAAGUCCCGCAACGAGCGCAACCCUCGUUCUAUGUUGCCAGCACGUGAUGGUGGGGACUCAUAGGAGACUGCCGGGGUCAACUCGGAGGAAGGUGGGGACGACGUCAAAUCAUCAUGCCCCUUAUGUCUUGGGCUUCACGCAUGCUACAAUGGCCGGUACAAAGGGUUGCGAUACUGUGAGGUGGAGCUAAUCCCAAAAAGCCGGUCUCAGUUCGGAUUGGGGUCUGCAACUCGACCCC
rnacentral:rRNA from 1 species